CACUUGCAGUGGAGCGACUCUCUUGUGUCUUUCCUCUAGGUGUCUUGACAAACACAACUUGAGAAAUACUAAUUUCAAUGGAAAGAGCAGACCAUCUCUUUUCGCCCCAGUGGUCUUGGAGUUGCUCUCUGAUGUCCGUGGGGGUUCCCCUCUAUUCUCUCCCUGCUGAAUCCCACCUCGUGGGGACCUUUCCCAAUCCUUGUAAAGGAAUAUGUUUCAGAAUGCUUACUGUGCAAGGUUUUACAGCGUUCAAUUUGAGCUGUGUGAACGUCUGGAAAGCUUCCAAAGAGCCUCAGAUCUCCCAGCAUUCCUCAGGAGAGCUGAAAGCGAGCUGCGGCCAAACACAUGAGCCUUUCACAUGAGCCCGGUGAUCAGUACCACACUACAGCUGCCGUUCACUCCUCCCUUUGGCCUGCUAAUUCUUGCUUCUCUCUGUCCUUCUCUCGUUUUCUCUCCUGUUGUGUUCACCCCCCCCCCCCACCUCCUGUCAGGGCUCACACAUUCUCUCUAAAGCUCAGAGUGAGUUUGUCUGCGGUGCGUAUAGCUAAAAGCUGUGCUGGGCCUCUCUGCUGGCCAGAUGUUCAGGGUAUCCAUGCAGGCAUGGCUGAAUUCAUUGCCGAACUGACUCUCCGAACUUUUCUGUGGUUCUUUAGCAAGAUGAUUGGCUGAGAGACAGCGAUCCCAGACAUUCUAGAACAGCAACGUUUUUCGAAAUGGGUUCAAGAUUCUGCUGGACAAAAAGCUACAAGGAAUCUUUUUCUCACUCAACCUUUAAACAUCUGAACGUUCAAUAAACUUUGUUCAUUUUGUGUGGGUGCCCGUGCAUAGCUCCAGAACGACCUCAUUGGGAUCCAUAUCACGACAGUGAUGAGAGUAAUAAUAUAAAUACUCGUUUUGGUGGUUAGCAGCAAUUACAAUCAAACUUGCUACCGAAUACCGAACAUACACACUGAUGCAAUAGUGUGCUGCAAACCAUGAAGUAUCACAGGUAUUGCAAAUUUUUGUUUACUUUGAUUUGAACCAGCUUAAAACUGAACUAGGCCACCUUAAAUAUCAAAUAAAUAAAUCAAAUAAA